rnacentral:lncRNA from 1 species
GCGAUCCAUUUAGCCGGAUGGGGAGAGGCAACAGCAGAAAAAGAUAAUACUGGGUUUCUAAAGAAGGCAUUCCUAGGCUUCAGCUGCAUCCAGCCACCCAGGGGUGCAACUUCCCCUCCUUAAUGCGGCCCACUUUCCAAUCCAGGCUGUCUGGCUUCGUAGCAGAGCCCAAGAAAACGUGCGAGGGGGGAGGUUAGGACUGACGAAAGGCGACUCCCGCUUCUAUCGCUGGACGCCAGGCUUGUGUUAGGCCAGAGUGCCAGGCCGAUCACAGCUGAAGAGCCCCUCUUCCCACUCCUGCCUGCCCUCCCGCUCCGGAUCAGCGCCUUACAACUCUUCACUUUGAAGUGCGUGUUGUGCCCUUGUCUCCGGAGACGCCGAGAGUCCUCCAGGCCCCUCAAGUGAAGUGCAGCCUGACCCAGUUUCUCUGGCCCUACUUUUAUCUCCGCAUUCACGACCCACCCUCCCGGACCCACCUUAUAUGGGCGUGGGGCCCCGUGGGCUUCAAGGACUCACCACAGGAUUUCCACCAGUCUUUCAAUCCUGAGCGACCCCGACAAACUGCUCCUCAGAUCCCUGCGGGCUGCUGGCGACACAAACCCUGCCAGUGCAGGCAGACUUCCUCCCCGCUGCGGGCGCUGGCACCACUCGGCCUACCCGUGACCCCUACGGCGCGCCGGAGUGCCAGGGAAUAGCCUUUAUCCGUCAGUGCUUUUACUUAGCAAUUAAAUAAGUUUGCAGGGUUUCUGAGCUUCAAGGCCUGUACUCAGGGACUUUGUUUAAUCUGAACUUAAUAAAACCAGAAGCGUGUAUUGAAGAUGGUGUGGGAGGGAUGGGUCCAAGGUUCCCUCUGAUCCAUGCACGGUUGAAAAACCAGAACCACCGGUAUGAGGCCGUGGGUAAAAAUUUCUCAGACCUGGAACGGGCUCAAGCCAGGGCUUUGGAGACUGCUCUCCAGGACGCCACCAGAGGGGCUUUGUCCUAGAGCAACUGUCUCUGGAGAGAGUUGGAAAAUCCUAAAGGGGUGUUUCUGAUUCUCCUGCUAGGUUUCUGCAAAAAAGGCUCAACUGGUGUAACCUCUGUAGAGGGCCUAUCCUUACCCCACCUCCCCACCCACGCCCUUACAAGACACAAAAAGCAAAUAAAAAGAGUGGAAGUCAC